GUGAAGAAAUUAAGGCUUAAAGGCCUACAGUGUCAGCUGCAUUAAGUGGAUGGAUUCAAACAGCCAGGCGACCUCUAGAAUAGUACCUGGCCAGCGUGUAUAUUUAAGCCUGUAUGCUCUAUACAAUCCACUACACAGGGGAUGACAUUGAAAUUAAAGUGGUUGCAGAUCUAGAACAUGGUGGUAGAGUGCUUAGCAUCCAAGCUACAAUGGUAGGAGCAGGGUUGUGGUUGUAUUGGACAUAGAUGAAGAUGCAUUGCAAAUAUUUAAUAGGAAUGUGGAAGAGUUUGACUUAGCAAAUGUUGUCAUGGUUUACUGUGAUAUGUGCUCAUAAUUUAGGAGAAUGUCCAAGUCAUUAGGUACAGUAAUCAUGAAUCCUCACUUUGGGACCAAAAAUAAUAAAGUUAUAUUCAAAGAUAUAACUUCUCUGAAGACUGCUUCAGAAAUGGCAAGGACAGUCAUAUAUAUUUUGCACAAAUCCUCAACUACAAAACAUGCUCAAAAGAAAGUUGCAGAAUAGAAAAUCGAGAUAAAUGUUAUUACAGAGUUGAGAUACGACCUGCCAGCAUCAUGCAAUUGUCAUAAAAAGAGAUCAGUGGAUGUUGAAGUGAACUAAUUCGGUUUUCUUUU
rnacentral:lncRNA from 1 species